AAGAUAUGUUUUUUAUAAUAGUGAUAUUUAUCACAUUUGUAGUUUUUUUGGUUCACAAACUAAUUUCAAGUACAAACAAACGGAGUAAUGGCAUCUGGUACCAACAAUAACAAAAACAAGAAAUUCCGUUAUCACAAUUAGAAUGACAAACUGAGAAAGUUUUUAUUUGUUGCAGAUUUAUAGUUGACUUGAAAUGGAAAAGAAAGGAAAGACUUUGUUUUUGUAUAUUUGGGUGGAUUUAUAUUUUGUGAAACAAAUGUUAAAAAUAAAAUUUUAAGUAUACCUAUAAUGUAAAUGUAGAUAGGAUUAUGAUAUACGAUAGUAAUAUGAUUAUAUUAUGUGCUUAUUUAUACUUUAUAAAAAUUGUUGAUAACUUUUUUGAAAUCGUUUAUUUACUAAUUUAUUAUUUAUUCGUGGAUUUGCUGUUAAAAUGAAAUGUAAAUCACAGAAAAUUUAAUAUUUUUUAUGUAAAUCAAAGAAAACAAUAGAUUAUAUAUUUGAAA